CCAUCCACGCCUCUCUCUCGGGACAUCAACCUUCUCCGGCAUUUCUCCGCUGCGUCUAGAGUUCUCGACUAUCUUUCUUAGCUAGGUCUCCUCUGGUAGCAACACUUUGCAGUGCAGCCUGCUCUGACCCCGGCUCUCCUGGUAAGUUUACAUGAGAUUAUUAUCACUGAACACUGGAACCUCAUACAUUUACCAACCAUUAUUAGUUUACACUCUUGUUCUUAUUUAAUACGUAUAUGAUAUAUGCCUUUUGGAUUCCAGUUCAAAAAAGGUUAUUUGUUCACAGUAUUGAUAUAUAGUUGCCCUUGCUAACAACUCUGGUGCAUGCAGAACUAUCGAUAUCGAUAAUUCCAUCUUCUCUAUGGAGACGGUUGGCAUAUCUGCAGCGAGCUGGGUGGUUGGCAAAGCACUGAGCCCACUGUCUGGUGGUGUGCUGGAGUUGUGGGCAGCCAGCACCAAGCUCGGGUAUAACAUCGAGAAUCUAAAGCUGGAGCUGUUGCAGGCUCAGGCAAUGUUGAACACUGCCGAGGGCAGGGAGAUCCACAACCCCGCCCUGGCUGAGCUGCUAAACAAGCUGCGGCAGCUGGCCUAUGGGGCCGACGAUGUGCUGGACGCGAUCGACUACUUCCGCAUCCAGGAUGAGCUCGAUGGCACGUACCAUGCUGCAGACACGCAUGCUGCUGGCUGUGUCCAGGACCUCGCCCUCCAUGCUCGCCACAUGACCAAAGCUUGUGGGAACAAACUCAAGUUUCCUGUGUGCACGCGUGCUACCAGGCGUCCCGAUCCUGAUGAGCAAGACGGCGAUGGCAAACAAGGAUGCCUCUCAGGUCUCCGCUUUUGUGGUGGUCGGCGUGAGGUUAACUCCUCACUACCGACACCCACCAAACAGCUGGGUGUCGAUGAGGUUCAUGGCAGAUGCAUGCCUAAGGCUGCCCACAAUGUCGGUAAACACUUUUCUUGCUUCUCCUCCUUACCCUCUAUCGACCAUGAUGCUCAGACCGAAGUGGUGGAAAAUCACCCCUUAGAAAUACCAAAACUGAAGUUUGACAGGGUGGAAAUGUCUAGAAAGAUAUUGAACAUCAUAGAGCAGUUGAAGCCUGUAUGUGCUAAGGUCUCAACCAUUCUUAAUCUAGAGUUACUGAACUCUAGCCGUGCCUCUACCCAAGACAUUGCCACGAACAGACCCAAAACUACCCCACAAAUUAUAGAACCUAAGUUAUAUGGAAGGGAUAGCCACAAAAAGAUUGUCCUCGAUGAAAUUGCUAAUAGUCAAUGUUGUGAACUCACUGUGCUUCCAAUUGUCGGCCCAGGAGGUAUUGGAAAGACAACUUUCACACAACACGUAUAUGAACAAGCGAAGAGUCAUUUCCAAGUCCCCAUCUGGAUUUGUAUCUCUUUUGAUUUUAAUGCGAAUAGGUUGGCAAAAGAUAUCGUGAAAAAUAUCCCCAAAUUUGACAAUGAAAAGAGUGAUUGUAGUGAUGAAGAGCUUAUCGUGCAAAGGAUAAAAGGAAAAAGGGUUUUACUUGUGUUAGAUGAUGUGUGGACACAUCAUGAGGAUGAGUGGAAAAAAUUGUUAUCCUUAUUCAAAACCGAGGGUGCAAAAGGUAGCAUGGUUAUAGUCACGACUCGAAUACCCGAGGUAGCAAACACGGUUAAGACAACUAAAUGCUCACUGGGAUUGGAGCAUCUAUGUCCUAAAGAUAUUAUGUCUUUCUUUGAAGAUUGUGUAUUUGGUGACCAAGAACCAUGGAUUCACCAUCCAGAACUAUCUGAAGUUGGGAGCAAAAUAGUGGACAAGCUGAAGGGUUCCCCUCUUGCAGCAAAAACUGUUGGUAGAUUAUUAAGAAACAAACUUACAUUAAACCUUUGGACAAGCGUUCUGGAAAGUAAAGAAUGGGAAUCACAAAACAAUGACAAUGAUAUUAUGCCAGCUUUAAAACUCAGCUAUGAUCAUCUUCCAUUCCAUCUACAACAAUGUUUUUCUUUUUGUUCUUUAUUUCCUGAAGAUUAUGAAUUUGGUAGCGAAGAGUUGGUUCACUUGUGGAUUGGACUGAAUAUUUUGAAGAUGUUGGAAUGUGCUAUUUAAAUUACUUGGUAACCCAUGGAUUUUUCAAAAUGAAUAAAAGGGAAGAACGUUCUUAUUAUGUUAUCCAUGACUUAUUGCAUGAGUUGGCAGUGAAGGUUUCAUCGCAUGAAUGUCUUAGCAUCUAUAGUUCUAACGUAAGGUAUAUACAAAUUCCCCCAUCUGUGCGUCACUUGUCUAUAAUCACGGAUAACAAAGAUGUAAAUGACAGAAUGUCUUUUGAAGAAUACGACAGAAAUUUAAGUGCACUAGCUAAACGAUUGAAAGUUGAACACCUGCGUACUUUAAUGUUAUUUGGUGAAUACCAUGGAAGCCUUGUCAAAACUAUUGGUGGUUUAUUUAGAGAAGCUACAGCCCUUCGCGUCAUAUUUUUGUCUGAAGCAUCAUAUAAUUUGGAGGACCUAUUGCACAACUUUUCAAAACUUGUCCAUCUUCGUUACCUAAGGAUUAAGCCAGUGUAUUACUUGGACGUGUGCUUACCAAGCGCGUUGUUUAGAUUGUAUCAUUUAGAGGUCAUUGAUGUGCAAAGUGUGCAACACUACGUUAGUUCAACUAGACAUAUGAGCAACCUUAUAAAACUGCAUCAUUUUCUGGUGCCAGAAAAAAAAACUUCAGUUUCAGUCUGACAUUUAUGGGGUGGGAAAACUAAAAUUCCUCCAGGAAUUAAGAGAAUUUAGAGUGGGAAAGGAGAGUGAUUGUUUUGAACUAAGUCAGCUCGGAACAUUGACGGAGAUUGGAGGAUCACUUGGCAUAUAUAAUCUUGAAAAUGUGCAGACAAAAGAGGAAGCAAGUGAGUCAAAACUCGCACAGAAGAACCACAUAAGAGAACUCAUACUAGAAUGGGAUGUGAUGCGACCUAAUGUGGAUCCUGUAAAAGAAGAAAAUGUUCUUGGAAGCCUUGUACCACAUGGCAAUCUUCAAGAGCUAUGCAUUAGAGGGCACGGGGGCACUAAUUCCCCAUCAUGGCUAUAUGAGAAUCUCUCAGUUAAAUGUUUGGAAUCUCUUUGUCUGGAUGGUGUAUCUUGGAAAACUCUUCCACCUCUGGGAGAGAUGUGGAUGGUUAAUGAGCUUGAUGAAGAGUAUCAGGGUUGUAGCCUCUCACCUCUAAGCUUCCAUAACUUGAGAAGGCUACAAUUAAGUAACAUAUCUAGGUUGAAAAAAUGGGUUGGAAAUGGCGCUUGUCCUUUCUUUUCUUACUUGGAAGUGCUCAUAAUUAGAGGAUGUUCUGAACUUUUGGAGUUUCCAUUUUCACAUUCUACUUGCUAUGAAGCACGAAUGGAGGAGAAAAUGGGUUGGUUUCCUAGGCUACGGGAGAUGGUCAUUGUCGACUGCCCGAAACUAGCAUCAGUGCCUUCUAUCCCUUGGCGGACUAGUACUCCGUGUUGUGCUGAGAUAGUAAGAGCAGGAUCAGGUUUUGAAAAGCUGGUUUACCACAAAAGGUACGAAUCAAAACUAAGCUUGGAAAUUGAGGGAAAGGGUGGUCAAUAUGAUGGGUUGUGGAGUGGGUUGAAUUUCUCUAAUCUAACUGAUCUAGAGGAGUUGUACGUGAACAGAGUCCCUCCCCUGCCGCUGGAUAACCUCCGAGUGCUAGCAUCUCUAAAGAAGAUCGUGAUAGAGGGUGCCAGCAGUUUCUUGUUAUCGGUUGGAGAUGCUACUGCUAGGCAUGGCGUAUACCGGUUUCCAGUUGAAGAACUCAGGAUCAGUAACUGUGAUACGAAAGGAAAAGAAUUGACAUUGCUGCUCUCUUUUCUUCCGAACCUAUCAAAGUUGGAUAUGAAUAGGUGUGAGAAUAUAACUGGGUUGGGUGUGGUAGAGCAUGCAGAAACUGUUUCUGGAGAGCAGCAGCAACAGACAAGAGACGAUGAGGAAAUAAUAACAGCGUCAGCAGCAGGAGUACUUCUAUUGCCUCCCCAGCUACAGGAAUUGCGGAUUUCAGAUUGCCCAAAGGUGAGCUUAUUAUUCUCCAAUCCACUGCACGACAACGACCAGCACGCCACAACAGAAGCAGGGCUCCAACGUCUCCGCUCCCUUAGCCACUUGGAUGUGAGUGGCUGCCCCGAGCUCCUCUCCUCCUAUUCAUCCUUAUCCUCCUCUGUUUUCCCUUUUCCAACCUGCUUGCAAGUCCUCUGCCUACGGAGCGUGAAGCACAUGGAGACGCUGCAAGCCCUCUCAAACCUCACCUCUCUCACCGAAUUAUACUUGUAUGCAUGGGAGCAGGGUUUAAGAGAUGAGGGCUUAUGGACUCUCCUCGCCCACGGCCGCCUCACACGAUUAACCCUCUAUACUCGCUCCAACUUCUUCGCCGGAUCCAAUCCCUCAUGGCCACAUGACAAAGAGGGGUAUUCCCGUUCCUCCAAGCCCUUGGUUCUGAAUACGAAAUACAACACAGGAGUCCUUGCUGCGCCCAUCUGUAGCCUCCUCUCUUCCACCCUCACAGUACUAUUCCUCUUAUUCGGCCACGAGGUGGAAUGCUUGACAAAGGAGCAAGAGGAGGCCCUUCAGCUCCUCACCUGCCUCUAGGACCUCCGACUUUUUGGGGGAUACAAGCUGCAGCACCUCCCUGCAGGGCUACACAAGCUUAUCAACCUCAGGGAAUUAAGGGUCAUAUGGUGUUCGGCCAUCCUGUCGUUGCCCAGCCUUCCGAGCUCUCUGCGGGAAUUAAAGAUCGAGUGUUGCGGUGCCAUCAAGUCUCUGUCGAACGGCCUCCCGAGUUCUUUGGAAAUAUUGAAUAUCUGCCGCUGUGAUGCCAUCAAGUCGCUGCCCAAGGACAGCCUUCCAAGUUCAAUGCGAGAGUUAGAUGUCCAUCUUGGCAACAGCAAGGAGCUAAAAAGGGACUGCCGCAAGUUUAUAGGAACCAUCCCAAUUGUGAGAACUUGACCAAUCCAAGGGUUCUUCUUCAACCUGCAUAUUCUGUUAGCCUCCUACAGUUCUCUCUGUAUAAUUACGAGCAAGGCUCCCACUUGCCAGUGCAAGCAUGAUGAUCUCAGUUUGUUUCUCCCAUCCUGCAUGCAAAGCUGUGAGCAGGUUGGGCCAUGGAGUUGUCAAUUCUUCCAUCUUUGUAAAAUUCUCUGCGUUGAUACAAGGUUCCUUCAUCAUCAAAGCCUUGAGUGGCAUCUCCUUAUGAGCAUGAAUUGAUAAUUAAUUAAUUAUGGGAUCCAUCUAGGAGUUUUAGCCUUGUAAAAUUAUCUCCAUGCACACACAGGUGGCACUUCAGGGUCUUGUGUGGUAUUUCGUCCUAUAUGAAAAGUCCAUAAAUCUGGUUAGUGUGCACAAAUCCAAUCUGUUCUAUCGUAUAGCUAAUACCAUUUCAAAGUUUCUUUAUCUCCCUCCCUGGAGGAAAUUUUAUUUUAUUUUUGUGCAGGAGUCUUUAUGCUAAUUCUGGUUGGAUUAUAGAUACUUUCCGUUUACAUUUUGGUCAUCUCUCAUGAUGACUUGAUGGUGUGCUCGGCUUAUUCGGCUGUGAGGGUUAACAUAUCACCAUCACCAUGGCAUAAUGGUGGAAGAAAUGAGAUCCGGAACUUUACAAUAAUACCCCUUGUCGUAUGAUAUCAGUGCUUGUGUGCAGCCAAUCAGAUCUCUGGUCGUUAUUAAUUGAUGUGGCAUGCGGCACAACUUUGGAAAUCAACAAUGGAGUAGGCACAUGUUUGUGAAGUUGUAACACUUUUGUACCCACAGAAGGUCAGCAACCCCUUGCUGAAAUUCAUGAUCAAUUUAGCUAUGCUAGAUUGUAUUGCAAUGUGCAAUUGUCAAACACUUACUGCCUCAUGAGACCUAGGCUAGAGGAAUUGAUACUUUCUGGAUAAGUUGGUACUCUAGCUUUUGAGCACGCUCAUAAUCUCUGAAUUCAUUGCCAUUCUGAAUUAAAUAACACAAGAGAGUUUUCAGCUGAUACAUAUAGUCGUAAAGGUAGAGAACACUUGUUACUAGGUGAUUGAUGAACAUUGAUUGAACAAAAAGACUCGAGCUUGCUAAUUUUUAUUCAUAGAACCUCCUGAGUUAAGUAUGGUGAAGGUGAUUUUAUUCUCUUCUUGAUCUGUAGUAUUUUUUCUAUCCCACCAAUGCCAAAAGCAGAGCAGAUUUCAUGAGCCUUGAUUAUUGCAAUCUGAAUAUUUAGUGUGUAUUGUUAAGUUCGAUGUUCCUCUAGUCUGAAGUCUUUGAAAGCCAGUCAUUCCUUUGCCGUAACUUUAUGUUUGCUUGCCUCUUCAACACUCGGCAUUGCAUUCCUUCAUCAGGAUAUCACAAAAUCUCAGAAAUUAAACCAUUUCUGUCAUUUGUUCACACCAUACCUACCUAUAUAGCGCAUCACUCACUAUUCCAUAGUAGUUGAUUAUUCCAUAAGCACAGUCAUCAAAGUUUGAGAAGACUCAAAAGCGUUUUAUUAUCAACGCUGCAAAAUUCAUUAUUAUGAAGAUUCAAGAGCUAUAUUCAUCAGCAGUGGCCUCUCUCUCACAUACUGAAAAAACAAGAAGAGAGGAGCACCAUUUCAAAAGAUUAAAGGGUUCAUUUUCAAGCAGGACGGAAUAGCCAGCAGUGCUUCCAUUUUCAUGUGCUACAUAUGCAAUAUCGAUAACAGGAACAUCACUCGCAUCCUGGGAUCACCUUACAUUGCAUUGGCCUCUCAAAUAAUUUCCUUGGUGUGAGUCCGUUUCCUCCCACAUGCCUUGGACCCUACAAUUUUUUCCAAUGACUGGAAUGUGAAGACUUCUUUUUAUGCUGAGUUGAACUCUUAUUUAGCUUUACAAUCUAGAUUUCAGAUUUGCUCAUUCUUUGAAUUACCCAACCAAGCUCCAGAUAAGCUUUCCACAAAUAUAAAGUAGAUAGAACACUUCGGCCACUGGCCAGUGAGGACUAUAAUUAUGUGAUGAGAGUAAUUCCGGAUCAUGACGAGGUAAUUUCGCUAGAUACCUGCUCUUGGAAGGUUCACAAAGGAAUAAAAUUGUUGGCUGCUCUUGUCUUCCUUUGUUCUUGACAUUGAAGUCAAACCUCCUAGUUACCUGUGUUCAAAACUUGAUCGCUAUAUUGUUGAUGCUGUUCACUCUCAUAAAAUGGAACCCAUUCCGUACUGGCAAUGAAUAGGAGUUGUUAUUUAAGCUUGUGCUCAAUUCUUAGCCUGCUACUUUAAUAUGUUUGCAGUAAGUGCCUCGACCCAAAGUUUACGAGGAUUACAGUAAUUGUUUGCACGUGAGCACUUGUUUGCAAUCUCGCUAUGCUAAGCUUUCAGGUAUUUCACAAGCAUGUGGGCAAGUUGAAUCAGGAGCCUAAGUCCUCUGACGUGCCAUUUGCCGCAAUCUGAGACCUUUCUUUCUCGAGGGAAGAAUCGGAAAGGGAGAAGGCUAAGAUGAAUCAUAGCUUUUGUUUCUCUUUGAAGCCACUUGCUUCCUAACAAUGUUAUAAGGAAGAGAGAAUGGGGUUUCCCCGAUUGUUAUUUCCCUUCUAGCUUCAGUCUGUAGUAGGCUGUCGAUGAAUGGUACAAAAACAUGCGGACUCUUUCAUCUGUUCUUUAAGUGUGGACAUCAACAUUCAGUGUAAUGUGCAAUAUCUUCAUAUAUGAAUCUAUGCUUGCAUGUCA